AUAUCAAUAAGCGGAGGAAAAGAAACUAACAAGGAUUCCCCUAGUAACUGCGAGUGAAGCGGGAAAAGCUCAAAUUUGGAAUCUGGUGGUCUUUGGCCCAUCCGAGUUGUAAUUUAGAGAAGCGUCUUCCGCGCUGGACCGUGCACAAGUCUCCUGGAAUGGAGCGUCAUAGAGGGUGAGAAUCCCGUCUUUGGCAUGGAAUCCCAGGGCUUCUGUGAUGCGCUCUCGACGAGUCGAGUUGUUUGGGAAUGCAGCUCAAAAUGGGUGGUGAACUCCAUCUAAAGCUAAAUAUUGGCGAGAGACCGAUAGCGAACAAGUACCGUGAGGGAAAGAUGAAAAGCACUUUGGAAAGAGAGUGAAACAGUACGUGAAAUUGUUGAAAGGGAAACGCUUGAAGUCAGUCGCGUCGACCGAGACUCAGCCUCGCCUUGGCUUGGUGUACUUCUCGGCUCGACGGGUCAGCAUCGAUUUCGAUCCUCGGAUAAUGGCAAGGGAAAGGUAGCACCUUUUUAGGUGUGUUAUAGUCCUCUGUCGCAUGCGAGGGUCGGGAUCGAGGAACUCAGCACGCACCUCAGGGUGUCGGGGCCUUGGCCCACGUUUACGUGCUUAGGAUGCUGGCGUAAUGGCUUUAAACGA
rnacentral:rRNA from 1 species